AGAAAAAGGCAAACCCCUCGUAAGAAGGGGACGCAAAGCUAUGGAUCUUAUUUUUUUUUAAGAUCGCCAAGCUACCAU
rnacentral:ncRNA from 1 species